CCCUAUUCAGAGUGUCAUUUCCUCUCACCCAGGUGGCCCCUGUUCAUCUCCCAGGUGUGCCAGGUUGCCCUUGGCCCCCAGCCAGACAGUUGUUGGUAUUCACAGCCCCAGCAGCAACAGAGCUGUGGCGAAUUCUGAUCAGGGACCCCGCUUCUCACAACCACAGAAGCAAACCUUGCCUGGGCCCUGGAAUCUUGCCAACUUGGGCAAAUGUUUACGAAUCCUUCUCCAUGGAGCAGGAAUCCAGGCAAGGAAUCUGGCAAACAAAACAAACCAGUGAGCAUGAGGGAUGGGAGCAGACAGGGCAGCUGCCUUUGCUGCUUUUUCUUUCCUGAGACCUGCCCAUUUCCCCAAAAGUCUUCUGGGACCCUUAUCUGAGUUUUCUGCGCUCCCACUGCCUACUGCCCUUGGACCCAGCAUUUAGGGUGAGAUUUCUCUUGCACUAGUCUUCCUCAUCAUUACCGCCACCCUCAAGGACCCCCAUAGCAGAGUUCCGGACCACUGUCCCCAGGUCCAAGGUAGUAACCUUGCUAGGAAGGCAGUUGCAAGAUAGUUGGACUGCACGGAUCAAGUCUUUGCCUGAUGUCUUUGGUUUGAAGAGGCUAACCACAACCCUAAGACUGGACUGAUCUUGAGCCAGCAUUGUCCUUCCUUGCAUGACUAAGCCAUCUAUCAGAAUGUUUAUCACCAUUCUUUAUGGAGGAAUGGUUGAACUGGCAGACCACAGUGGUCAUUUGAAAAACCUUCUCCAAUACCCCCAACUCUAUGCUUCUGAGCUGCUGAAAUCUCGAGAAACUUAUAUUCCUAUCGCCAUAACACGAAAUGAAGGUUCACCAGAGCCAAUAUUUGUGCCACUAUUAAAGGAUCAUGAAAUUAUUGAUUCUAAGUUUUUAGGUUUGCUGAGUGCUUCAAAGAUGUAAUUUCAUGUAAACCUCACAACAGCCCUGGAAGAUAAGUGCUGAUCCCAUGUCUGAGGCUUGGCCUCAGGAAGAAGUAAAAAGAGAAAUCGAUGACAUAAGAAACAGAUUUGAAGCCUUACAUCUCUAUGUACUUUUUCUUGAACUUUUUCUUCAAGAAAAGAACCAGUAGGCAUGAAAUAUGGAAAGCAUAAAAAUGAUAUCAUAAAAGUAAAAAAUACUUAUAUCUAGAAGACAGGAAAAGAUUCAUUAUUUAUAUGGGUGUUAUCCUUGAAUCCACUGUGUAAAUUCAAACCACUAAUUUGUCAGAGCAAAGAUUAGUAUUGGGUUUUUUUGUUAAAAGAAAAAAUAGCAAUGAGAAACAAUUAUGCCAUACAUUUUAAACAACAGACUUAAGCUAUUUUUAAAAAGUAGUUGACAAUGGAAAAAAUGGGAAAUGUUUAUACUAAUUUUAUAUAGAAGUUUUAUCAUUAUAAAUUAAUGAGGAGAUUAAAAAGACAGCAACUAUUACAACCAAAGGCAACCCUGCUUUAGCAUAUAAAUUCAUUUGUAAAAUCUUGCCCAAAAAAAUGAUGGAUAUAAGAUGUAACACUUCAAAAAGCAAAGAAAGUCAGUGGAUGGUAAGAACCAGUUUAAAGAAACCUUGAGAAAAGACCCAACUAAACAAAGUCAUCCCAAGUACAUUUAAAGAGGAAAUAGGACAACAAAGAGACAGAAAAGUGGGAAAGAUCUGCAAAGAUUUUUUUAAUGUUUUCACCAUCAAUAAUAACACUAGAGCUUCUACACUUAAACUUCAAAAUCAUACUCUUUGAUGUGCUUUUAAGUGAGAUCAAAAUGGCACUAAUAGAAACAAAGAUGUGAAAAGAAGUCAAGUUAUUUGUUUAAAAGGCAUAAAUUGGGGGCAUCUGGGUACCUCAGUGGAUUGAGUCAGGCUUAGAGAUGGGAGGUCCUGGGUUCAAAUCUGACCUCAGACACUUCCCAGCUAUGUGACCCUGGGCAAGUCACUUGACCCCCAUUACCUAGCCCUUACCACUCUUCUGCCUUGGAACCAAUACACAGUAUUGACUCCAAGAUGGAAGGUAAGGGUUUUAAAAAAUAAAAGGGAUAAAUCUCUGAGAGGGACA
rnacentral:lncRNA from 1 species